rnacentral:rRNA from 1 species
GGCAGGCCUAACACAUGCAAGUCGAACGGUAACAGGAAGCAGCUUGCUGCUUCGCUGACGAGUGGCGGACGGGUGAGUAAUGUCUGGGAAACUGCCUGAUGGAGGGGGAUAACUACUGGAAACGGUAGCUAAUACCGCAUAACGUCGCAAGACCAAAGAGGGGGACCUUCGGGCCUCUUGCCAUCGGAUGUGCCCAGAUGGGAUUAGCUAGUAGGUGGGGUAACGGCUCACCUAGGCGACGAUCCCUAGCUGGUCUGAGAGGAUGACCAGCCACACUGGAACUGAGACACGGUCCAGACUCCUACGGGAGGCAGCAGUGGGGAAUAUUGCACAAUGGGCGCAAGCCUGAUGCAGCCAUGCCGCGUGUAUGAAGAAGGCCUUCGGGUUGUAAAGUACUUUCAGCGGGGAGGAAGGCGGUGAGGUUAAUAACCUUGUCGAUUGACGUUACCCGCAGAAGAAGCACCGGCUAACUCCGUGCCAGCAGCCGCGGUAAUACGGAGGGUGCAAGCGUUAAUCGGAAUUACUGGGCGUAAAGCGCACGCAGGCGGUCUGUCAAGUCGGAUGUGAAAUCCCCGGGCUCAACCUGGGAACUGCAUUCGAAACUGGCAGGCUAGAGUCUUGUAGAGGGGGGUGGAAUUCCAGGUGUAGCGGUGAAAUGCGUAGAGAUCUGGAGGAAUACCGGUGGCGAAGGCGGCCCCCUGGACAAAGACUGACGCUCAGGUGCGAAAGCGUGGGGAGCAAACAGGAUUAGAUACCCUGGUAGUCCACGCCGUAAACGAUGUCGACUUGGAGGUUGUGCCCUUGAGGCGUGGCUUCCGGAGCUAACGCGUUAAGUCGACCGCCUGGGGAGUACGGCCGCAAGGUUAAAACUCAAAUGAAUUGACGGGGGCCCGCACAAGCGGUGGAGCAUGUGGUUUAAUUCGAUGCAACGCGAAGAACCUUACCUACUCUUGACAUCCAGAGAACUUAGCAGAGAUGCUUUGGUGCCUUCGGGAACUCUGAGACAGGUGCUGCAUGGCUGUCGUCAGCUCGUGUUGUGAAAUGUUGGGUUAAGUCCCGCAACGAGCGCAACCCUUAUCCUUUGUUGCCAGCGGUCCGGCCGGGAACUCAAAGGAGACUGCCAGUGAUAAACUGGAGGAAGGUGGGGAUGACGUCAGGUCAUCAUGGCCCUUACGAGUAGGGCUACACACGUGCUACAAUGGCGCAUACAAAGAGAAGCGACCUCGCGAGAGCAAGCGGACCUCAUAAAGUGCGUCGUAGUCCGGAUUGGAGUCUGCAACUCGACUCCAUGAAGUCGGAAUCGCUAGUAAUCGUGGAUCAGAAUGCCACGGUGAAUACGUUCCCGGGCCUUGUACACACCGCCCGUCACACCAUGGGAGUGGGUUGCAAAAGAAGUAGGUAGCUUAACCUUCGGGAGGGCGCUUACCACUUUGUGAUUCAUGACUGGGGUGAAGUCAUAACAAG